rnacentral:ncRNA from 1 species
AUGGCGAUAGCUCUUCGAGUCCUGAUAACCUAAAACAAGCUAAAGUUAUGGUUCCAGGACCGGUGAGCCGAAAGGCUCCGAGGGUGCAAGGUGGAAACACCGGCGCCUCCCGAAUUCGGAAAGGAGAACACGAUGGGAGCAA